rnacentral:rRNA from 1 species
UAAUACGGAGGAUCCAAGCGUUAUCCGGAAUCAUUGGGUUUAAAGGGUCCGUAGGUGGAUAAUUAAGUCAGAGGUGAAAUCCUGCAGCUCAACUGUAGAAUUGCCUUUGAUACUGGUUAUCUUGAAUUAUUAUGAAGUAGUUAGAAUAUGUAGUGUAGCGGUGAAAUGCAUAGAUAUUACAUAGAAUACCAAUUGCGAAGGCAGAUUACUAAUAAUAUAUUGACACUGAUGGACGAAAGCGUGGGGAGCGAACAGGAUUAGAUACCCUGGUAGUCCACGCCGUAAACGAUGGUCACUAGCUGUUUGGACUUCGGUCUGAGUGGCUAAGCGAAAGUGAUAAGUGACCCACCUGGGGAGUACGUUCGCAAGAAUG